rnacentral:rRNA from 1 species
GACGAACGCUGGCGGCGCGCUUAACACAUGCAAGUCGAACGGAAAGGCCUGCUUUCCCCUGUGGAUUGCGGGUACUCGAGUGGCGAACGGGUGAGUAACACGUGAGUGAUCUGCCCCCAACUUGAGUAUAAGCCUGGGAAACUGGGUCUAAUUCCCGAUAGGACUGCAGGGUGGUGCCUGUGGUGGAAAACGAUUUUCUAGUGGUUGGGGAUGAGCUCGCGGCCUAUCAGCUUGUUGGUGGGGUAAUGGCCUACCAAGGCGGCGACGGGUAGCCGGCCUGAGAGGGUGGACGGCCACAUUGGGACUGAGAUACGGCCCAGACUCCUACGGGAGGCAGCAGUGGGGAAUAUUGCACAAUGGGCGGAAGCCUGAUGCAGCGACGCCGCGUGGGGGAUGACGGCCUUCGGGUUGUAAACUCCUUUCGACCGCGAGGAAGCCACCUGGUUGGAAGGGUGGUGACGGUAGUGGUAGAAGAAGCACCGGCUAACUACGUG